CCUACGGGAGGCAGCAGUGGGGAAUAUUGCUCAAUGGGGGCAACCCUGAUGCAGCGACGCCGCGUGAGUGAAGAAGUAAUUCGUUAUGUAAAGCUCUAUCAGCAGGGACGAAAAUGACGCUACCUGCGUAAGAAGCUCCGGCUAACUACGUGCCAGCAGCCGCGGUAAUACGUAGGGGGCAAGCGUUAUCCGGAUUUACUGGGUGUAAAGGGGGCGUAGACGGCAGUGCAAGUCUGGAGUGAAAGGCAUGGGCUCAACCCCCGGACUGCUCUGGAAACUGUACGGCUGGAGUGCAGGAGAGGUAAGUGGAAUUCCUAGUGUAGCGGUGAAAUGCGUAGAUAUUAGGAGGAACACCAGUGGCGAAGGCGGCUUACUGGACUGUAACUGACGUUGAGGCGCGAAAGCGUGGGGAGCAAACAGGAUUAGAUACCCGAGUAGUC
rnacentral:rRNA from 1 species